rnacentral:SRP_RNA from 1 species
AGCCGGGGAGCUAGCGGCACCCUGUAUCUGCAAUCCGCUAUAGCAGAGGUGAUAUCCACCCCCGGUCCGCGUUGGUGGAGCCUGCCCGUACGAGGGGGUGUUGAGGGCCAGGUCUUGCGCGUUAUUGUCCUGUGAACCGUGUCAGGUCUGAGAGGAAGCAGCACUAAGCAGAUCACAGUAAGUGCCGUAAGGGUGCCUGGUCUGAGCUCGCAACUAUGGUAACGUCUGUUGGCAAGGAUCAAAGGUGGAUGCGC